CGCAACUUGCGCCCUCUGGUAUUCCGGAGGGCAUGCCUGUUUGAGUGUCAUGCAGCUCAUUCAAUAAUGAAUUGUUAUUGAGUGGAUUUGGGGGUUUGCCACAUUGCUGGCUCUCCUUAAAAGGAUAAUGUAGACGUGAUAAGUUUCGUCGUACGCAUUUCUAAUACUGUAUUUGUACUCUGGCCUCAAAUCAGGUAGGGCUACCCGCUGAACUUAA
rnacentral:misc_RNA from 1 species